AGUGAACGCUGGCGGUAGGCCUAACACAUGCAAGUCGAACGGCAGCACAGUAAGAGCUUGCUCUUACGGGUGGCGAGUGGCGGACGGGUGAGGAAUACAUCGGAAUCUACUUUUUCGUGGGGGAUAACGUAGGGAAACUUACGCUAAUACCGCAUACGACCUACGGGUGAAAGCAGGGGAUCUUCGGACCUUGCGCGAUUGAAUGAGCCGAUGUCGGAUUAGCUAGUUGGCGGGGUAAAGGCCCACCAAGGCGACGAUCCGUAGCUGGUCUGAGAGGAUGAUCAGCCACACUGGAACUGAGACACGGUCCAGACUCCUACGGGAGGCAGCAGUGGGGAAUAUUGGACAAAGGGCGCAAGCCUGAUCCAGCCAUACCGCGUGGGUGAAGAAGGCCUUCGGGUUGUAAAGCCCUUUUGUUGGGAAAGAAAAGCAGCAGGUUAAUACCCCGCUGUUCUGACGGUACCCAAAGAACAAGCACCGGCUAACUUCGUG
rnacentral:rRNA from 1 species